rnacentral:rRNA from 1 species
CAGCAGCCGCGGUAAUACCGGCGGCCCGAGUGGCGGCCACUAUUAUUGGGCUUAAAGCGUCCGUAGCCGGGUUGGUUAGUCUCCCGGGAAAUCUGGCCGCUUAACGGUCAGAAUUCCGGGAGAUACUGCCAGCCUAGGGACCGGGAGAGGCCGAGGGUAUUCCCGGAGUAGGGGUGAAAUCCUAUAAUCCCGGGAGGACCACCUGUGGCGAAGGCGCUCGGCUGGAACGGGUCCGACGGUGAGGGACGAAGGCCAGGGGAGCAGACCGGAUUAGAUACCCGGGUAGUCCUGGCUGUAAACGAUGCGGACUUUGUGUCGGACAAGCUAUGAGCUUGUCCGGUGCCGGAGGGAAACCGUUAAGUCCGCCGCCUGGGGAGUACGGCCGCAAGGCUGAAACUUAAAGGAAUUGGCGGG